rnacentral:snoRNA from 1 species
CUACCAUGAUGAAAAACCUACAAUCAGUUCUGCUACUGAACUACCUUGACGAUAACCAUUACCAUACUUACCAAAUUUUCUGAUGU